rnacentral:rRNA from 1 species
UACGGAGGGGGCUAGCGUUGUUCGGAAUUACUGGGCGUAAAGCGCACGUAGGCGGCUUUGUAAGUUAGAGGUGAAAGCCCGGGGCUCAACUCCGGAAUUGCCUUUAAGACUGCAUCGCUAGAAUUGUGGAGAGGUAAGUGGAAUUCCGAGUGUAGAGGUGAAAUUCGUAGAUAUUCGGAAGAAACACCAGUGGCGAAGGCGACUUACUGGACACAUAUUGACGCUGAGGUGCGAAAGCGUGGGGAGCAAACAGG